UACGUAGGGGGCAAGCGUUGUCCGGAAUCAUUGGGCGUAAAGCGCGCGUAGGCGGCCCGGUAAGUCCGCUGUAAAAGUCAAAGGCUCAACCUUUGAAUGCCGGUGGAUACUGUCAGGCUAGAGUCCGGAAGAGGCGAGUGGAAUUCCUGGUGUAGCGGUGGAAUGCGCAGAUAUCAGGAGGAACACCAAUAGCGAAGGCAGCUCGCUGGGACGGUACUGACGCUCAGGCGCGAAAGCGUGGGGAGCAAACAGG
rnacentral:rRNA from 1 species